ACCACAUCACGUUGAAACACCGGUUUCUGUACGAUCACCGAAUUUAAGCAACAUCGAGCCUUGUCAGUACCUAGAUGGGUGACCGCUUGGGAAUACUAGGU
rnacentral:rRNA from 1 species